GCUAGCAAGAUUACCUCAACACUUUCGUUUCUUUUGCUUUUAUAUUGGAUGGAGUACUUCCAAAGUCAUGUUGCUUAAGUUUCUUUGUUGGAGGAAUUGUUAUUUCAUUAGCCUCUAAUUUAUGAAUUUCCCUACUUCUCCUUCAUCUUCAAAGGGAUAUAUCCAUCAAAAACCAUACUCUUUUGUCACUACUUCCUCACCAUCUAGAGUUUGAGCAAAGAAUUUAAAUGAUUCUUUGAUUCACACUCAUAAAGGCACAACGGAUUACCAUGUGAGAAACUUUCGUGACCUUGGGGUCGACAGUCUCCACCAUGGCUUGCCUCCACCAUGGCUUGCCGGGCCUCUGCUUCGAGGGCCAACUGCUCCGUCUCGUAGGCUGCUGCAUUGAAGGCCUUGCUGUUGUUAUUCUUCUGGUUGCCGGUGGCGGCUUCCACCUUGAACCAACUGUUGUGGGGAUUCUUUGAGAGGGAACGAAGGGUGCAAAGAGAGGAGGGGUUGGAGAAGUUGGUAUUGAGCAUAAAUGAAUGUAAUAAAUGGAAUGCAUCCAUUUUACUUGAAAGAAUGUUGAGUUUGGUUUCAAAAUAUUUGAUUUUUAA